rnacentral:lncRNA from 1 species
CUUUUUCUUUUCUUCAGGUGUAGCCUCUGCAGAAGCUUUGGAACCUUCUAGUCCACUGGUUGAGUCAGUCUUUCAGGUAUCCACACCCAGCUUUCCAGCACCCUGAGGGAGAAAACCCCAUAUAGCCUCAGCUCCAGUAGGAGACAGGCCCUUCAACUGGCCAGACAUAACAUCUCUCCAAAGAACAGUGGCUUGUGUUGGAGGGGAGUAAGGCCAUCCUUGCCCAAAUUUAAAGAAAAUGUCUUUGUUUGGAAGAUCUAGUGACAGAUGCUGCUCACGCCCUUGAGAAUUCUUGGAAGUUAGGCUGUGAAGGCCGGUUCUACCUCUAUGUCUGCCUUGCUGCUUGGAGCCUGUAUCUGUUGUUUCCUGCACACCCUGGCUCUGACCUUCUGACCUCAGGUGAAUACUGUGUACGCCUGUGCCUCAACUUCUC